AGGAUUCAAAGUAUUUUCCAAUUGGUGCAAAUGAAAAACAUGUUCGUAAUUUCUUUCUUUUAAAUAUCAGUUUAACUAACACAUAUAUGUUGUAUGUCAUUCAAAGUACAAAAAUAUUUUCUUCGCUGCAAAAUAAAAUUGAACUGUUUCACACGUGGUUGCGACACAAAAGCUCUCUGUCAUGUCGACACAAAUGUCAAUGCCGUGCAAGGUGUCGCUUUCUGCAUUCUAACGAUCUUUCAAUGAUUUUACAAUGAUCUUAAAAACCGUUCAGUGAUCCCCGUGAUCUUCUGAUGAUCCUUCAUUGUUUUCAAGGUCUACUGAUAAUAUCAGUGAUCUUUACAUGAUGUUACCCUCCUAAAACAGAUGACGCUUCAACAAUAGCUUGGCAACGAAAAUAACUUUAACACACAGUUAGGCAGAAGAAGCAAGAUCUAGAGCCGUACCGAAUCUAUGGCAUCACAGUGAUGUGUAUUUGCAAGUAAAGUAAUGCGCAAUGUUUUGGAUAAAUAUAUCUAAGUAUUCUACUUUAUAACACAAAAACAUCACAUAAACACACUGAGUAGUUACAAUUUGUAAAUAAUGCUUUUACUAUGAAAUGUGUUGUUACUAUAUUGACUUUGAUGAUAUCAAUAUAGCUGAAUAAGCAACACUUGAGUCGCUCUAUAACAUAAAUGUACAAAUCAUUUCAUGCUUUUAACCUCAAACAUUUCAGAUAUCUCUUUAUGAAAUUCGUAUCAAGCUAUGAAACCGGUUUUAUCUAAAUAAGUAAACUCAGAGGGGGUGGUGCCGGUAAUUGUAUACAUAAGCCUGCAUCACAUGACCCGUACAAAGCGUCAUUGGCAUUCGGGUUUGUAUAGAUCUGGAAAGUCCCCUGUACUGAAAUCUUUGUCCAUUCUGGAACAUUCUGGAUUUUUUCCACGGGAAUUUCCCUUCGUCAUCAGAGUAUCGGUACACUUGGCCCUUCGCUAGCAGCCAAUUUGACGUCUCUUCUGUACUAUUUGGAUUAUAUUCCCAUCGGAAAGCAGCCUGGAAAUUGUGCACGACUGAUUCAGAGCGUCUAAAUCUUCGAAGAGAUUUCAACGUUUG